GCCAACUUGCAUACCAUGUUGGAUACACCGGUUCUUGUCCGACCACUGAAGUUAAGCAACAUCUAGCGUGGUUCGUACCUGGAUGGGUGACCCUAUGAGAGGGUUUUGCACAGCGCC
rnacentral:rRNA from 1 species